UGUAGGAGUGAGCCUGCUCGCGAUGGCGUCCGGUCAUGCAACAUCAAUGUCGACUGAUACACCGCCAUCGCGAGCAGGCUCACUCCUACA
rnacentral:misc_RNA from 1 species